rnacentral:rRNA from 1 species
AAUGAACGCUGGCGGCAGGCCUAACACAUGCAAGUCGAGCGGACGUAGCAAUACGUUAGCGGCGCACGGGAGAGUAACACGUGGGAACCUACCUUUUGGUUCGGAAUAACGUCGGGAAACUGGCGCUAAUACCGGAUGAUCCCUAUGGGGGAAAGAUUUAUCGCCGAAAGAUGGGCCCGCGUUAGAUUAGCUUGUUGGUGAGGUAAUGGCUCACCAAGGCUACGAUCUAUAGCUGGUCUGAGAGGAUGACCAGCCUCACUGGGACUGAGACACGGCCCAGACUCCUACGGGAGGCAGCAGUGGGGAAUAUUGGACAAUGGGGGAAACCCUGAUCCAGCCAUGCCGCGUGAAUGAUGAAGGCCUUCGGGUUGUAAAGUUCUUUUGGUAGGGACGAUG